rnacentral:rRNA from 1 species
UACGUGAAACCGUUCAGGGGUAAACCUAAGAAACCCAAAAGAUCGAACGGGGAGAUUCAUCGUCAGCGGCGCUGGCUUCGCGUCGGUGGGCGAUGUCCCGCGGAGUCCUCGCGGCUCGCGCGCGGGCACGCUACCGUGCGUCGAUGUCCGGCGCUCGUCGUCGUGCACUUCUCCCCAAGUAGAACGUCGCGACCCGCUGGGUGUCGGUCUACGGCCCGGGUGCGGUGACUGUCGCGUCGCCGGUAAAACGGCACGCGACAAAACCCCCGGUCGCCCGGCCGGCUGCUCGGCGGUACGCGCAUGGUAUCAGGCCGCACUAUUUUACGGUGCGUCGAGGCCGUCGCAAGCGCGCGCCACGGUACUCGGAGGUUACGGACUUUGCGCCGUCCCCGGUCCUGGUCCGCUGUUGGUUAAAGUACGGUUCACCUUCGACAGGCCUGCGAACGUCUCUCCCCGGAGAGACCGAUACCGGUCGGCGACGCUACUGCUUUGGGUACUCUUAGGACCCGUCUUGAAACACGGACCAAGGAGUCUAACAUGUACGCGAGUCAUUGGGACUUGUCGCGAGACCUAAAGGCGUAAUGAAAGUGAAGGUCGGCCCUGGCCGUCGACCGAGGGAGGAUGGGCCGCGUCGCGAUGCGGCCUCGCACUCCCGGGGCGUCUCGUUCUCAUCGCGAGAAGAGGCGCACCCAGAGCGUACACGUUGGGACCCGAAAGAUGGUGAACUAUGCCUGGUCAGGACGAAGUCAGGGGAAACCCUGAUGGAGGUCCGUAGCGAUUCUGACGUGCAAAUCGAUCGUCGGAACUGGGUAUAGGGGCGAAAGACUAAUCGAACCAUC